GGGUUGUGAGGUUAAGCGACUAAGCGUACACGGUGGAUGCCCUGGCAGUCAGAGGCGAUGAAGGACGUGCUAAUCUGCGAUAAGCGUCGGUAAGGUGAUAUGAACCGUUAUAACCGACGAUUUCCGAAUGGGGAAACCCAGUGUGUUUCGACACACUAUCAUUAACUGAAUCCAUAGGUUAAUGAGGCGAACCGGGGGAACUGAAACAUCUAAGUACCCCGAGGAAAAGAAAUCAACCGAGAUUCCCCCAGUAGCGGCGAGCGAACGGGGAGCAGCCCAGAGCCUGAAUCAGUGUGUGUGUUAGUGGAAGCGUCUGGAAAGGCGCGCGAUACAGGGUGACAGCCCCGUACACAAAAAUGCACAUGCUGUGAGCUCGAUGAGUAGGGCGGGACACGUGGUAUCCUGUCUGAAUAUGGGGGGACCAUCCUCCAAGGCUAAAUACUCCUGACUGACCGAUAGUGAACCAGUACCGUGAGGGAAAGGCGAAAAGAACCCCGGCGAGGGGAGUGAAAAAGAACCUGAAACCGUGUACGUACAAGCAGUGGGAGCACAGAGCAAUCUGUGUGACUGCGUACCUUUUGUAUAAUGGGUCAGCGACUUAUAUUCUGUAGCAAGGUUAACCGAAUAGGGGAGCCGAAGGGAAACCGAGUCUUAACUGGGCGUUAAGUUGCAGGGUAUAGACCCGAAACCCGGUGAUCUAGCCAUGGGCAGGUUGAAGGUUGGGUAACACUAACUGGAGGACCGAACCGACUAAUGUUGAAAAAUUAGCGGAUGACUUGUGGCUGGGGGUGAAAGGCCAAUCAAACCGGGAGAUAGCUGGUUCUCCCCGAAAGCUAUUUAGGUAGCGCCUCGUGAAUUCAUCUCCGGGGGUAGAGCACUGUUUCGGCAAGGGGGUCAUCCCGACUUACCAACCCGAUGCAAACUGCGAAUACCGGAGAAUGUUAUCACGGGAGACACACGGCGGGUGCUAACGUCCGUCGUGAAGAGGGAAACAACCCAGACCGCCAGCUAAGGUCCCAAAGUCAUGGUUAAGUGGGAAACGAUGUGGGAAGGCCCAGACAGCCAGGAUGUUGGCUUAGAAGCAGCCAUCAUUUAAAGAAAGCGUAAUAGCUCACUGGUCGAGUCGGCCUGCGCGGAAGAUGUAACGGGGCUAAACCAUGCACCGAAGCUGCGGCAGCGACACUAUGUGUUGUUGGGUAGGGGAGCGUUCUGUAAGCCUGUAAAGGUGUGCUGUGAGGCAUGCUGGAGGUAUCAGAAGUGCGAAUGCUGACAUAAGUAACGAUAAAGCGGGUGAAAAGCCCGCUCGCCGGAAGACCAAGGGUUCCUGUCCAACGUUAAUCGGGGCAGGGUGAGUCGACCCCUAAGGCGAGGCCGAAAGGCGUAGUCGAUGGGAAACAGGUUAAUAUUCCUGUACUUGGUGUUACUGCGAAGGGGGGACGGAGAAGGCUAUGUUGGCCGGGCGACGGUUGUCCCGGUUUAAGCGUGUAGGCUGGUUUUCCAGGCAAAUCCGGAAAAUCAAGGCUGAGGCGUGAUGACGAGGCACUACGGUGCUGAAGCAACAAAUGCCCUGCUUCCAGGAAAAGCCUCUAAGCAUCAGGUAACAUCAAAUCGUACCCCAAACCGACACAGGUGGUCAGGUAGAGAAUACCAAGGCGCUUGAGAGAACUCGGGUGAAGGAACUAGGCAAAAUGGUGCCGUAACUUCGGGAGAAGGCACGCUGAUAUGUAGGUGAAGCGACUUGCUCGUGGAGCUGAAAUCAGUCGAAGAUACCAGCUGGCUGCAACUGUUUAUUAAAAACACAGCACUGUGCAAACACGAAAGUGGACGUAUACGGUGUGACGCCUGCCCGGUGCCGGAAGGUUAAUUGAUGGGGUCAGCGCAAGCGAAGCUCUUGAUCGAAGCCCCGGUAAACGGCGGCCGUAACUAUAACGGUCCUAAGGUAGCGAAAUUCCUUGUCGGGUAAGUUCCGACCUGCACGAAUGGCGUAAUGAUGGCCAGGCUGUCUCCACCCGAGACUCAGUGAAAUUGAACUCGCUGUGAAGAUGCAGUGUACCCGCGGCAAGACGGAAAGACCCCGUGAACCUUUACUAUAGCUUGACACUGAACAUUGAGCCUUGAUGUGUAGGAUAGGUGGGAGGCUUUGAAGUGUGGACGCCAGUCUGCAUGGAGCCGACCUUGAAAUACCACCCUUUAAUGUUUGAUGUUCUAACGUUGACCCGUAAUCCGGGUUGCGGACAGUGUCUGGUGGGUAGUUUGACUGGGGCGGUCUCCUCCUAAAGAGUAACGGAGGAGCACGAAGGUUGGCUAAUCCUGGUCGGACAUCAGGAGGUUAGUGCAAUGGCAUAAGCCAGCUUGACUGCGAGCGUGACGGCGCGAGCAGGUGCGAAAGCAGGUCAUAGUGAUCCGGUGGUUCUGAAUGGAAGGGCCAUCGCUCAACGGAUAAAAGGUACUCCGGGGAUAACAGGCUGAUACCGCCCAAGAGUUCAUAUCGACGGCGGUGUUUGGCACCUCGAUGUCGGCUCAUCACAUCCUGGGGCUGAAGUAGGUCCCAAGGGUAUGGCUGUUCGCCAUUUAAAGUGGUACGCGAGCUGGGUUUAGAACGUCGUGAGACAGUUCGGUCCCUAUCUGCCGUGGGCGCUGGAGAACUGAGGGGGGCUGCUCCUAGUACGAGAGGACCGGAGUGGACGCAUCACUGGUGUUCGGGUUGUCAUGCCAAUGGCACUGCCCGGUAGCUAAAUGCGGAAGAGAUAAGUGCUGAAAGCAUCUAAGCACGAAACUUGCCCCGAGAUGAGUUCUCCCUGACUCCUUGAGAGUCCUGAAGGAACGUUGAAGACGACGACGUUGAUAGGCCGGGUGUGUAAGCGCAGCGAUGCGUUGAGCUAACCGGUACUAAUGAACCGUGAGGCUUAACCUUACAACGCCGAAG
rnacentral:rRNA from 1 species